rnacentral:rRNA from 1 species
AUGGCGCGGCGCGGGCCGGUUGAGCUGCGGCGGAUCGAGGACCGGACGAGCCGGCAGGUGCGCUUCUCCAAGCGCCGCUCGGGCCUCUUCAAGAAGGCCUUCGAGUUCGGCCUCCUCUACGACGCCGAGGUCGCGCUGCUCGUCUUCUCCCCCGCCGGCAGGCUUUACGAGUAUGCCUCCUCCAGCAUAGAAGAUACAUACGACCGCUAUCAGGCAUUUGGAGGAGCCGGAAAGAACCUGAAUGAAGGCGGUGCAAGCACCAACAAUGGGGGAGAUCCUUCAAAUAUGCAGUCAAGGCUGAAAGAGAUUGCUUCCUGGUCUCUUCAAAACAAUGCUGAUGACGCAGAUGCUAAUGAGCUAGAGAAACUAGAGAAACUACUCACAGAUGCUUUGGAGAAUAUAAAAUCCAAGAAGAUGUUGGCGCAACGAAACAGCGGCGCUAGCGGCGGGAACUCCACCAUCAGUCCCAGGGAACAGGAGGAAGGAAGGAGCUGA